rnacentral:rRNA from 1 species
AGAGGGGGCAAGCGUUAUUCGGAAUUAUUGGGCGUAAAGGGCGCGUAGGCGGCUUGGCAAGUGGAAGGUGAAAUCCCUCGGCUCAACUGAGGAACUGCCCUCCAAACUGCUUUGCUUGAGGCCGGGAGAGGUAAGUGGAAUUCCCAGUGUAGCGGUGAAAUGCGUAGAUAUUGGGAGGAACACCAGUGGCGAAGGCGGCUUACUGGACCGGUUCUGACGCUGAGGCGCGAAAGCGUGGGGAGCAAACGGGAUUAGAUACCCCGGUAGUCCACGCCGUAAACGAUGAGUGCUUGGUGUAGCGGGUAUCGACCCCUGCUGUGCCGAAGUCAACACAUUAAGCACUCCGCCUGGGGAGUACGGUCGCAAGGCUG